rnacentral:lncRNA from 1 species
UCUUGGUCACGUUGAUGUUGGGUGAAAAUGGCAAAGGUCCACCUUCCUUUUAUAGUAAAACCAGUCUGAAUAGAGUUGUGACAGCUGCCCCACCUUCUUUCUUUGAUGGCCAAGUCACCUUGACCUUGUCCUUCUCUUCUUUUUCCACGUGAACACAUACUCUCUUCAAUUUGUCUUCUUCUAACACCUCCUUCCCAAGUUUAAUUAGUCAUCUCCUUGUCAUAUUAUUUUUCCACGUAGUCAUCACUUUCAUUUGCCUCCUCUGCAAGAUGCCCACGUGUGAGGACAAAGAAAAGCUGUAUAUGACUAACUCCUCCUUUCUUUAAGACACGUUAAAUGCCUCAAAACCAUAAGAAAUAUAAAAUAUUUCUUUCUCUUCUUUUCUUU